rnacentral:rRNA from 1 species
GAUGAACGCUGGCGGCGUGCCUAAUACAUGCAAGUCGAGCGAACGGACGAGGAGCUUGCUUUUCUGAUGUUAGCGGCGGACGGGUGAGUAACACGUGGAUAACCUACCUAUAAGACUGGGAUAACUUCGGGAAACCGGAGCUAAUACCGGAUAAUAUUUUGAACCGCAUGGUUCAAAAGUGAAAGACGGUCUUGCUGUCACUUAUAGAUGGAUCCGCGCUGCAUUAGCUAGUUGGUAAGGUAACGGCUUACCAAGGCAACGAUGCAUAGCCGACCUGAGAGGGUGAUCGGCCACACUGGAACUGAGACACGGUCCAGACUCCUACGGGAGGCAGCAGUAGGGAAUCUUCCGCAAUGGGCGAAAGCCUGACGGAGCAACGCCGCGUGAGUGAUGAAGGUCUUCGGAUCGUAAAACUCUGUUAUUAGGGAAGAACAUAUGUGUAAGUAACUGUGCACAUCUUGACGGUACCUAAUCAGAAAGCCACGGCUAACUACGUG